UAUCACUCCUACGGGAGGNAGCAGUGGGGAAUAUUGGACAAUGGGGGAAACCCUGAUCCAGCCAUGCCGGCGUGUGUGAAGAAGGCCUUCGGGUUGUAAAGCACUUUCAGUGGGGAGGAAAGGUUGAUGGUUAAUACCUAUCAGCUGUGACGUUACCACAGAAGAAGCACCGGCUAACUCCGUGCAGCCAGCCGCGGUAANACGGAGGGUGCAAGCGUUAAUCGGAAUUACUGGGCGUAAAGCGUGCGCAGGCGGUCUGUUAAGCGAGAUGUGAAAGCCCCGGGCUCAACCUGGGAACUGCAUUUCGAACUGGCAGACUAGAGUCUUGUAGAGGGGGUAGAAUUCCAGGUGUAGCGGUGAAAUGCGUAGAGAUCUGGAGGAAUACCGGUGGCGAAGGCGGCCCCCUGGACAGAUACUGACACUCAGAUGCGAAAGCGUGGGGAGCAAACAGGAUUAGAUACCCUGGUAG
rnacentral:rRNA from 1 species